UGGGGAAUAUUGGACAAUGGGCGCAAGCCUGAUCCAGCCAUGCCGCGUGAGUGAUGAAGGCCCUAGGGUUGUAAAGCUCUUUCACCGGUGAAGAUAAUGACGGUAACCGGAGAAGAAGCCCCGGCUAACUUCGUGCCAGCAGCCGCGGUAAUACGAAGGGGGCUAGCGUUGUUCGGAUUUACUGGGCGUAAAGCGCACGUAGGCGGACUUUUAAGUCAGGGGUGAAAUCCCGGGGCUCAACCCCGGAACUGCCUUUGAUACUGGAAGUCUGGAGUAUGGUAGAGGUGAGUGGAAUUCCGAGUGUAGAGGUGAAAUUCGUAGAUAUUCGGAGGAACACCAGUGGCGAAGGCGGCUCACUGGACCAUUACUGACGCUGGGGUGCGAAAGCGUGGGGAGCAAACAGG
rnacentral:rRNA from 1 species